AAAAAUCAGAAGAAGAAAAAUAAAAUAAAAAACUUCAAAUCUCAUUCUUCAUCUUAUCAUUCCAAAUCCAAUCCAAAAGAGAAAAAAAAUUAACAACAACUCUAAUCCUCCACUCUCAAUUUCAUCAUCAUCAACCUUAUCACCACCACCAACAAACAACAUAAACAGAUCCCAUCAUCACUCUCUAAUCUCUCCUUAUUCCUUUUCUCUCAUGAAUUUCUUCAAAUCCGUUUUCUCCGACGAUUCAGAUCCAUAAUCGAAAUCUACCGUCGCGAUUCCGAUAAUAGCAGUGCCACUUCGAA
rnacentral:lncRNA from 1 species